UACGUAGGGUGCAAGCGUUGUCCGGAAUUAUUGGGCGUAAAGAGCGUGUAGGCGCCAGACAGGUCCGUUGUGAAAACUCGAGGCUCAACCUCGAGACGCCGAUGGAAACCGUCUGGCUAGAGUCCGGAAGAGGAGAGUGGAAUUCCCGGUGUAGCGGUGAAAUGCGCAGAUAUCGGGAAGAACACCCGUGGCUAAGGCGGCUCUCUAGUACGGUACUGACGCUGAGACGCGAAAGCGUGGGGAGCGAACAGG
rnacentral:rRNA from 1 species